CCUACGGGAGGCAGCAGUGGGGAAUAUUGCACAAUGGGGGAAACCCUGAUGCAGCGACGCCGCGUGAGUGAAGAAGUAUUUCGGUACGUAAAGCUCUAUCAGCAGGGAAGAAAAUGACGGUACCUGACUAAGAAGCCCCGGCUAACUACGUGCCAGCAGCCGCGGUAAUACGUAGGGGGCAAGCGUUAUCCGGAUUUACUGGGUGUAAAGGGAGCGUAGACGGCAGCGCAAGUCUGUAGUGAAAUCCCAUGGCUUAACCAUGGAACUGCAUUGGAAACUGUGCAGCUAGAGUGCAGGAGAGGUAAGCGGAAUUCCUAGUGUAGCGGUGAAAUGCGUAGAUAUUAGGAGGAACACCAGUGGCGAAGGCGGUUUACUGGACUGUAACUGACGUUGAGGCUCGAAAGCGUGGGGAGCAAACAGGAUUAGAUACCCUAGUAGUC
rnacentral:rRNA from 1 species